AGGUGUCAAAAACUGUCAAAAAUGUCAUAGUAUAGUAAGGCGUCAAAAAUGGUCAAAAAAUGUCAUAGUAUAGUAAGGCGUCAAAAAUGGUCAAAAAAUGUCAUACUAUAGUAAGGCGUCAAAAAUGGUCAAAAAAUGUCAUACUAUAGUAAGGCGUCAAAAAUGGUCAAAAAAUGUCAUAGUAUAGUAAGGCGUCAAAAAUGGUCAAAAAAUGUCAUAGUAUAGUAAGGCGUCAAAAAUGGUCAAAAAAUGUCAUAGUAUAGUAAGGCGUCAAAAAUGGUCAAAAAAUGUCAUAGUAUAGUAAGGCGUCAAAAAUGGUCAAAAAAUGUCAUAGUAUAGUAAGGUGUCAAAAACCAUCAAAAAAUGUCAUAGUAUAGUAAGGUGUCAAAAAUGGUCAAAAAAUGUCAUAGUAUAGUAAGGCGUCAAAAAUGGUCAAAAAAUGUCAUAGUAUAGUAAGGCGUCAAAAAUGGUCAAAAAAUGUCAUAGUAUAGUAAGGUGUCAAAAAUGGUCAAAAAAUGUCAUAGUAUA